rnacentral:rRNA from 1 species
UACGUAGGCAGCAAGCGUUGUUCGGAGUUACUGGGCGUAAAGGGUGUGUAGGCGGUUCUUUAAGUUUGGUGUGAAAUCUCCCGGCUCAACUGGGAGGGUGCGCCGAAUACUGAGGGACUAGAGUACGGGAGAGGAAAGUGGAAUUCCUGGUGUAGCGGUGAAAUGCGUAGAUAUCAGGAGGAACACCGGUGGUGUAGACGGCUUUCUGGACCGUAACUGACGCUGAGACACGAAAGCGUGGGUAGCAAACAGGAUUAGAUACCCUGGUAGUCCACGCCCUAAACGAUGCAUAUUUGGUGUGGGCAGUUCAUUCUGUCCGUGCCGGAGCUAACGCGUUAAAUAUGCCGCCUGGGGAGUACAGUCGCAAGGCUGAA